GACGAACGCUGGCGGCGUGCUUAACACAUGCAAGUCGAACGGAAAGGCCCUGCUUUUGUGGGGUGCUCGAGUGGCGAACGGGUGAGUAACACGUGAGUAACCUGCCCUUGACUUUGGGAUAACUUCAGGAAACUGGGGCUAAUACCGGAUAGGAGCUCCUGCUGCAUGGUGGGGGUUGGAAAGUUUCGGCGGUUGGGGAUGGACUCGCGGCUUAUCAGCUUGUUGGUGGGGUAGUGGCUUACCAAGGCUUUGACGGGUAGCCGGCCUGAGAGGGUGACCGGCCACAUUGGGACUGAGAUACGGCCCAGACUCCUACGGGAGGCAGCAGUGGGGAAUAUUGCACAAUGGGCUGAAGCCUGAUGCAGCAACGCCGCGUGCGGGAUGACGGCCUUCGGGUUGUAAACCGCUUUCGCCUGUGACGAAGCGUGAGCGACGGUAAUGGGUAAAGAAGCACCGGCUAACUACGUG
rnacentral:rRNA from 1 species